GAUAAACAAAUUUUUUUGCUUAAAGUUCACUUUCCCAAACUAAAAAUUACCCCCUACCGCACACCACAGGUUGCCUGACAACACCGAUAACGUCGAGAUUCUGCAACUUCCGUCAACCACUGAAGCUUUCACAAAGCCCGCCGCCUUAAAAUCCGAAGUUAGAUGGGAUCUUGACAGCCUCUACUCACCGGAUUAAGAGCACAAGAACCCGAAUUAGGAAAGCCGAAAACAAAUAACCCAAGUAAGCCAGACUCAAUCCCACGAGAAAUCACUAAAUAAGCUCUGAUACCAUGAUGUUAAGAGAGCAAAAAAUAUCCUUUCAUUCUAAUAAUAAUAGAGGAUGAGUUUACAUUCUUGACGAGGAUCUCAAUCACUUGCAGAAUAUAAUAUUUCACAAGGAAAAAGUUUGGUAAUUUCUUCUUUUUGUGAAUCUUUCUUACCGAUUUAAUACCAUGGAAAAUGUAUCACUUGGUAUAAUUGUUAUCUUCAAGUUGUGGUGGCAUAUAACACACUUGUAAGUGUUUCAUUUUCUUCGUUUCAACCUUUGGUGCUUGGAAUUGAGAUAGUUUUCACAAAGCCACUGAUCUGUAAGUGGAGCAUAAGGUGUGUUGAGCUUACAUAUUCCUGGUCUAUAAAUCCCAGUGUUAUUGUCUUGAUGUGCAUUCAGGUUAUAUGUUCAGCUGGUGAGUGUUGUCAUGCCAUUGCUGCCAUCUCAUAUUAUUUUUUUAUGUUUUGGGUACAACAAGCUGAUUUUCCUCAUUAGAUUAUUUUAUGUCUCAUUAUCAGAUUAGGGUGUUUGUUUGCAAAAUUAUCACAUCGGCGAAAGAGCUUCGACUCCGACCAUAAUGAGAUUUAAUGAGUUGAACUAAGAGUAAAUCAUAUAUUAUUAACAUUUCAUAUGCUUACUUUCUGAAAACCUCGUGAACUCCCAAUGCAGGGCACGCCAGUUUAUAUCAUUGUAGGUUCUCAUAUUUGGGUUGAAGACCCAGAUUUUGCUUGGAUCGAUGGACAAGUAACGAAAAUAAAUGUACACGAAGUUGAGGUCCAAACAUCCAAUGGGAUUCAGGGGAACUAAAGUUUUUUGCAUCAAACAACUCUGUUUGUAAAACUAGACUCAAACUUAAGUUAGUAAUCCUGGUAUACUUGGGGUAAUAUUUAUUGUAUUGAGAUAGUCUAUGUUUGCCUUUUAUUCUCUUAAAAAUCUAAAAGAAAUUAAUACAAAAACUAAGCCUCAAGUUUUACUGUUCAAUGGACUUACUUUGCACUCAGCAUUGACCAUGCCACUUACUUUUCAUGACUAUUAUUUUUGGGGUUUGGGCAGUGAUUGCCAUAAAAUUGUACUACUGCACAUGCCCUUUUUUUGAAAGUAGGUUCAGCUAUUUCUUCCUCGCUCUGUAUUUCUUCUUGUUAUUUUAUUCACACAAGAAGAGAAAAACUUACAUUGGACUGUCUCUCUGUUGUUUUUUCUAUUUAUGGACAAAUACAUUCUUUUCUUCUUAUUUACAGUUUUAACACAUUGCUAAAAUGUUUUGAGUUUGGGUUAAUAUAGGUAUAUCAUAAUAUAAAUUUUUUUCUUUGCAGUUGCAAGUUUCUGGCCUGAGUCAUUCUUCAAUUUUCACUUAUAUUUUUUUGUUGUGUUUUUCCAACUUAUUAAGGUUGUAGCUAAUUUAGCGACAAUAUAUCCUAAAGAUGAGGAUGCCCAUGUUGGUGGAGUUGAUGACAUGACCAAACUAUCUUAUUUGCACGAACCAGGGGUCCCACCGAACUAGGCAUCGAGAUACCAGCUUAAUGAAAUGUAUGUAAGAUUCUAAAAUUGUAACAUUCAAUCUAAAUUCUUGUUUAAUCUAUGUUCAACCCAGAAAGAGACAACAUUAGUUACCGCAGCUAUGGGUAACUCUUAUCAUAAUAGUAUGCUCUUAAAUUAUGUCAUAAACCGGAAGCAUUCUUAUUGCCAUCAAUCCAUUUCAAAGACUGCCUCACUUGUAUGAUGGCAACAUGAUGGAACAAUCCAAGGGUGCGCCAUUUGGUGAACAGAGCCCCCACAUGUUUGCCACUGCUGAUGUUGCUUUCAGGUGUUUCUAUGUUGUAUAGUCUUUCUGCACUACUCUUCUGUAAACAAGAUCAGGCUUACUAUACUAAGUUGAUGGAAACAAACGAGGGCAACAAUCAAUGAGGGAAAAAGUAACUCUAUUGGUCGGUGGAGAAAGUGGUGCUGGUUUAUGCAUGUUUAAUACUUGAAUUCAACAAAGAUGAGUGGCUGCGGUGAAACAGAUGAUCAAUUCUUUGACAGGCAUGAUGAGAUCACUUCUAUGUCCAACUUGGGUUUUGAAUGCUCUGAGUUCUACUUGAGUUCUCAUGGUAAGUGAGAUCUCCUUUUUCUGUUUGAAAGGUAAAACUUAAUUUAUGGCCAAUGUGGACACUAAUACAAAUUUUACAAGCAAUGCACACAUGCUUUAAUUGUA